AUUGAACGCUGGCGGCAUGCUUUACACAUGCAAGUCGAACGGCAGCGCGGGCUUCGGCCUGGCGGCGAGUGGCGAACGGGUGAGUAAUACAUCGGAACGUGCCCAGUAGUGGGGGAUAGCUCGGCGAAAGCCGGAUUAAUACCGCAUACGACCUGAGGGUGAAAGCGGGGGAUCUUCGGACCUCGCGCUAUUGGAGCGGCCGAUGGCAGAUUAGCUAGAUGGUGGGGUAAAGGCCUACCAAAGCGACGAUCUGUAGCUGGUCUGAGAGGACGACCAGCCACACUGGGACUGAGACACGGCCCAGACUCCUACGGGAGGCAGCAGUGGGGAAUUUUGGACAAUGGGCGAAAGCCUGAUCCAGCAAUGCCGCGUGUGUGAUGAAGGCCUUCGGGUUGUAAAACACUUUUGGCGGGAACGAAAAGGACUGUGCCAAUACCACGGUUCGAUGACGGUACCCGCAGAAUAAGCACCGGCUAACUACGUG
rnacentral:rRNA from 1 species